rnacentral:rRNA from 1 species
CUUUACUGUAGCUUUACAUUGGACUUUGAACAGAUCUGUGUAGGAUAGGUGGGAGGCUUUGAAGCGGUGCCGCUAGGUGUCGUGGAGCCAACGUUGAAAUACCACCCUGGUGUGUUUGAGGUUCUAACCUUGGCCCGUUAUCCGGGUUGGGGACAGUGUAUGGUAGGCAGUUUGACUGGGGCGGUCUCCUCCCAAAGCGUAACGGAGGAGUUCGAAGGUACGCUAGGCACGGUCGGAAAUCGUGCUGAUAGUGCAUAGGCAUAAGCGUGCUUGACUGCGAGACUGACAAGUCGAGCAGGUACGAAAGUAGGACUAAGUGAUCCGGUGGUUCUGUAUGGAAGGGCCAUCGCUCAACGGAUAAAAGGUA